rnacentral:piRNA from 1 species
UAGCGUUAUUAACAUGGACAGGUGGAC